CACGUAGGAGACGAGCGUUAUCCGGAUUUACUGGGUGUAAAGCGCGUGCAGGCGGCUCAAUAAGUUGGAUGUGAAAGCUCCUGGCUUAACUGGGAGAGGUUGUUCAAGACUGUUGGGCUAGAGGAUGGCAGAGGGGAGUGGAAUUCCGAGUGUAGCGGUAAAAUGCAUAGAUAUUCGGAAGAACACCAGUGGCGAAGGCGGCUCUCUGGGCCAAACCUGACGCUCAGACGCGAAAGCUAGGGUAG
rnacentral:rRNA from 1 species